rfam:Candidatus Nasuia deltocephalinicola str. NAS-ALF, complete genome.
AGGUCGUUAGCUCAGUGGUAGAGCAGCGGACUUUUAAUCCGUUUGUCACAGGUUCAAAUCCUGUACGACCUA